UACGUAGGGUGCAAGCGUUAAUCGGAAUUACUGGGCGUAAAGCGUGCGCAGGCGGUGAUGUAAGACAGUUGUGAAAUCCCCGGGCUCAACCUGGGAACUGCAUCUGUGACUGCAUCGCUGGAGUGCGGCAGAGGGGGAUGGAAUUCCGCGUGUAGCAGUGAAAUGCGUAGAUAUGCGGAGGAACACCGAUGGCGAAGGCAAUCCCCUGGGCCUGCACUGACGCUCAUGCACGAAAGCGUGGGGAGCGAAACAA
rnacentral:rRNA from 1 species